UGAUCCAGGUCAUGCGCCCGCGCCUGAAAGGGGGCACGAAUUUCCCUGCGGCCACUGCGGCGUUGGCGAUGGCGGGCGAAUAGGCUUGGUAAACCGUGAUAGUCGUUGGAGUGUAUUGAGCUCGGAUGGCGUAUUUGGAUGGGGAUGUUUUUGGCUGCUCCAUUGCUUUCGAUUAGUGGGGGUGUUUUGAAAGGGUAUGUAUGUGUGGAUGCUGCGAUUCUGAGUUCGUGGAAUAAUUGCUCGUUGGAGGAGGAGUUGACCAGGGAAUGUUCGGGAGUUCGCAAUAUAUGAAUGGACCCGAUUCAAAUGCUCUCGUUGACAGUUUUCAAGAGCAGAGUUUGUGGCAGCCAUUUAUGUUUCUGGAGGCUUGAUCUGGGGCUGUUGCACUAAGCCACGCUGCGCAAAAAAAUGUGGACAGAUGCAUUGGACGCCUUGAAAUUAAUUUCCCCUUCGCGAGGAGGGUGGAGGAGGCGCAAGAAGGCUUCUUGUUUUUAACCAGUUAUACAUCCAGCUUAACGGCGUAGGCAAGGUCGUAUAUCUGGCCCGAUUUACUUCCCGCGCUGGUUUAGUUCCCCGACAACGCGGGGUUCGUAAUUCUGCCGAAGGCUCUACCAUCUGAGUCAUAUAUAGACGCAUUGCCACAGUUUGGAGAGAACGCCAAAGAUGGGGAAGCAGAUGCUAUCUUUUGCUCCAUGUUCUAUUUCGAGCGACGACUUCAAUGCGCUUCAAGGAUUGUUAUGUGACGAGGAGCAUUAAAGCAUAAAACAAGAAAUUUAACUACUAGUACCUAUUUAAAAUCUUGAACUC
rnacentral:sRNA from 1 species